rnacentral:rRNA from 1 species
CAGGCCUAACACAUGCAAGUCGAGGGGCAGCACAGAAACAGCAAUGUUUUGGUGGCGACCGGCGGACGGGUGCGUAACGCGUAUGCAACCUACCUUUAACAGGGGGAGAACGGAGAGAAAUUUCCACUAAUACCCCAUAAAAUCGAUCAAGGCAUCUUGAUUGGUUGAUAACUCCGGUGGUUAAAGAUGGGCAUGCGUUGUAUUAGGUGGUUGGUGAGGUAACGGCUCACCAAGCCGUCGACGGGUAGGGGGCGUGAGAGCGUGGCCCCCCACACGGGGACUGAGACACGGCCCCGACUCCUACGGGAGGCAGCAGUGAGGGAUAUUGGGCAAUGGACGCAAGUCUGACCCAGCGACGCCGCGUGGAGGACGAAGGGCUUCGGCUCGUAAACUCCUUUUCCCAGGGACGAGACAAGGACGGUACCUGGGGAAUAAGUCUCGGCUAACUACGUGCCAGCCGCCGCCGUAA